CCUCCCCUUAGAAGCAUUGCAGGUGUGGCUGUUGUGUCACAUGUGAGUCAGUAGGUGGCAGAGAGGAGAGAGGCUGUGUCUCCUAUGCUCAGUGUUCCAACCUAUAAACAUCUGAAUAAUUAGUAGUUUAAUGCU